rnacentral:rRNA from 1 species
GAUGAACGCUGGCGGCGUGCUUAACACAUGCAAGUCGAACGGUGAAGCAGGAGCUUGCUCUUGUGGAUCAGUGGCGAACGGGUGAGUAACACGUGAGCAACCUGCCCCUGACUCUGGAUAAGCGCUGGAAACGGCGUCUAAUACUGGAUAUGUGAUGUGACCGCAUGGUCUGCAUCUGGAAAGAAUUUCGGUUGGGGAUGGGCUCGCGGCCUAUCAGCUUGUUGGUGAGGUAAUGGCUCACCAAGGCGUCGACGGGUAGCCGGCCUGAGAGGGUGACCGGCCACACUAGGACUGAGACACGGCCCAGACUCCUACGGGAGGCAGCAGUGGGGAAUAUUGCACAAUGGGCGGAAGCCUGAUGCAGCAACGCCGCGUGAGGGAUGACGGCCUUCGGGUUGUAAACCUCUUUUAGCAGGGAAGAAGCGAAAGUGACGGUACCUGCAGAAAAAGCACCGGCUAACUACGUGCCAGCAGCCGCGGUAA